CUUAUUGAAGGGGUGUGAUUUACCUCCUUUCAGCUGAUUUCCUCCAUUCAAGUUGUAAAACUUAUUUUUCAAAUUAAGUCAGAUAGUUGUACACUAAUUUGCUUGAUCUCUUUAACAAUGAAGUGUUUAUUUUCACCCUGUAAGUGAGGUUGGGCAUUUGCUUGAUCUCUUUAACAAUGAAGUGUUUAUUUUCACCCUGUAAGUGAGGUUGGGCAUUUGCUUGAUCUCUUUAACAAUGAAGUGUUUAUUUUCACCCUGUAAGUGAGGUUGGGCAUUUGCUUGAUCUCUUUAACAAUGAAGUGUUUAUUUUCACCCUGUAAGUGAGGUUGGGCAUUUGCUUGAUCUCUUUAACAAUGAAGUGUUUAUUUUCACCCUGUAAGUGAGGUUGGGCAUUUGCUUGAUCUCUUUAACAAUGAAGUGUUUAUUUUCACCCUGUAAGUGAGGUUGGGCAUUUGCUUGAUCUCUUUAACAAUGAAGUGUUUAUUUUCACCCUGUAAGUGAGGUUGGGCAUUUGCUUGAUCUCUUUAACAAUGAAGUGUUUAUUUUCACCCUGUAAGUGAGGUUGGGCAUUUGCUUGAUCUCUUUAACAAUGAAGUGUUUAUUUUCACCCUGUAAGUGAGGUUGGGCAUUUGCUUGAUCUCUUUAACAAUGAAGUGUUUAUUUUCACCCUGUAAGUGAGGUUGGGCAUUUGCUUGAUCUCUUUAACAAUGAAGUGUUUAGUUUCACCCUGUAAGUGAGGUUGGGCAUUUGCUUGAUCUCUUUAAAAUUGAAGUGUUUAUUUGAACCCUGUAAGUGUGGUUGGGCAUUUUGCUCCCUUGUGGUCGUUUUUAAAUCACACGACUGUUAUUGGCAUGUUGGAAUUUCUUAACUAUUUCAUCAACAUGAAUAUUACUUAUAAAUAGAUGGAUAUCUCCAUGAAAAGAUGGAUUACACAUGAUUUUAAGGGGAAAAUAGUGUCAAUAUGCCCUUUUAACUAUUUUCCCCAUUUCAGUUGGGUUUUUAAUGAAGAUCUCUAUGUGUGUUAUAUCUCAGUAAUAUUAUAUAGGUCAAUACAUGUAAUUUCACAAUCCUGAUAUAAAGGCCACUGUCAUACCCUAACAGAUUUAUUACCAAGAUAUUAACUG